UGACGAGCGGCGGACGGGUGAGUAAUGCAUAGGAAACUGCCCAGUAGUGGGGGAUAGCCCGGGGGAAACCCGGAUUAAUACCGCGUACGCCCUUCGGGGGAAAGCAGGGGAUCUUCGGACCUUGCGCUAUUGGAUGUGCCUAUGUCGGAUUAGCUAGUUGGUGGGGUAAAGGCCUACCAAGGCGACGAUCCGUAGCUGGUCUGAGAGGAUGAUCAGCCACAUCGGGACUGAGACACGGCCCGA
rnacentral:rRNA from 1 species